rnacentral:misc_RNA from 1 species
CAAAAACAACAACAAUAACAAAAAACUAUCAAGAAGACCUGGUCUUUACCUCCAGGAAUAUUUGGAAGGACAUUAGAAGGUGACUUCGGUGUAACGAUAAAGUUUAAAGUUACUCCAUUUGUGACAUGGUUAUUACAUAUUCAAGUCACGGAAACAGCCUCUUUACAAAGCAGGGUAACACUGCAUAUAUCAACCCUCCUCAGAGCCCAUAAGUGUG